rnacentral:lncRNA from 1 species
CUUGACAAGGGAUGGAUUGUGAUUGCUACUCUUGGUUUUCAAUAUAAGAUCUAAAGUGGAAAGCAUAGGUCCAGGCAUGGUGGUACAUGCCCUUGAACCCUAGGAGAUGAGCAUCAAGCAGAUCUCUGAGUUCAAGUCCAUCCUGAUACAGAACAAGUUUCAGGUGAAGAAAAGCUAAGGUCUAGGCCGGUGGAUACAGAGCCUUGCAGAUCUCUGAGUUCAAGGUCAGUAUAUAGAGCAAGUUCCAGGACAGCCAAGCUGAGGCAGUAAAGGAGUUGGAGAACAGAAAACUGGUGAUAAUGUAAUAGAAGAGGCCAUGUCCCAGGCCCAGAAAGCAGCAGAGCUCAGCAACUUUGUCCAUGUGGCUCUGACUUUAGAGGUAAGAAUAGAAGGGACUACUGGGAAAAUUGAAGCUUGUUAGCUGUGGAUGAGAAAUUAGAAGUGAUGAAGAAGAGACCAGCAUCAUUGAGGUGAAAUUUUCUAGGAAGUGUUUUCUGAGAGGACAAAGAAACUGUGUUCCAGAGAUAGCCAGGAUUGUACCUUGUGUUGCAGCUGAACUUGGUCACAUGUAAGAAUCAUCCAGGUGGUACUGGUUUUGAAGGCAUGACGGUGUCAUGAGGAGCAGCUGAGGCUUGGACCAAUGAAGGGAGCAUAAGUGAGACUAUCAGUGAAGCCUAGUUGCAGGAGAAGAACCCAACAUAUUGAAGAUGCCAGUCCAAUGGGAUGAGCAGAAAGAACAGCCCAGUAGAGUGGAGUCAACCAGAAACCCAACAUAUUGAAGAUGCCAGUCCAAUGGGAUGAGCAGAAAGAACA